GACAAAGCCCGUCUAUUGCAGUUUGUGACUGGAACCUCUAAGGUACCUCUGGAAGGAUUUAGUUCCCUUCAAGGAAUUUCAGGGGCACAGAAGUUUCAGAUCCACAAGGCAUAUGGAAGCGCUAAUCACUUGCCGUCUGCUCAUACCUGUUUCAAUCAGUUAGAUCUGCCAGAGUACCCGUCUAAGGAACAUCUGCAGGAGAGGCUGCUGCUUGCAAUCCAUGAAGCAAGUGAAGGAUUCGGAUUUGGUUAAAACAAAAGCCAGCUUCCUUUUUUUUUUUUUUUGCUAUUUCAUUCUAUACAUAUACCUUUUGGGCAAAACGAAUGAUUUUCUGUAAUUCGCACUCUCUACUCGAACGUCCUUUUAAAAGAGUAUGUUCAAUAGAUAUUUUUAUCCC